AUCAAAUAAAGAAAAACAAUUUCUAGAAUUAAAAGAAAUACACACAAACCCCAGCAACACUGCUCUAUAUCUUAAAUGUGUGUCUUUGUAGUUUAAAACAUCAAACCUCAUUACAGAACAAUGGAUGAGAUUGUUGGUAAUUAUGGCUUAGAAGAAAGAUUUUAACUUUCCUGGCAUAAAAAGCACCUUUCUUUUCUUUUUUUUUUUUCUUUUUUCUUUUUUUUUUUUUUACCUUGCUUUUUUUCACAGCCUCAGCUGAAAUUGUUGAGGGGGCAAAGGGAGGGGAAUUUCUGGGACCUGAUUAGGGAGCGGAACUGACCAUUACACCAGUCCCAUUCCUCCACAGAGGAGUGUCUGAUCUUACAGGAGGCCAUCAGCUGGAGCUGGGGAUUUGACUUAGAAAAGAUCCUCCAUUGCCAUCAGGAGUCUGAAAGUGGUCAGAGAAGUUACACCCAACACAGAAGGUGUGUCUGAAUGUCCAGGAAGUCAAAUACAGCUCGAAAGGUUAAUUAUGGAAAAUCAUGGGUAUUCAGGUACACAGAGAAAUGGCUGUCGCUUCCAAAUGACUGGAGGUAGGAGGAGAAGAAUGUUUUCCACCCAGGAAU
rnacentral:lncRNA from 1 species